AGAGGUGUCAAGUGGGCCUUGCCGGCACGGCCCGACACGGGCAUGGCACGAAAAAACUCGGUACGGGCACGGUUUCGGAACGGUAUAAGUUGGGCACGGCAUGGCACGGUCUGAGCGGGCACGGGUACAGGUACGGAGCACGGAAAUGGUGGAGCACGGCACGGGCACGACACGAUAGUUGGCUUAACAUGGCAUGGCAUGGCACGGCACGAUCAAAACCCGACACGACACGGGCACGACACGAUAGUUAACUUAGUUUGGCACGGCACGGCACGACACAGACUUAGUCAAGCACGGCAUGUGCAUGGCACGAAUGUGUCAAGGGCACGACACGGGUACGGCACGAUACGGAAGUGGCAAGAAAUGAUUAAUUAUUAAAUAAAUUAAAAUAAAAUUUAAUUAAAUAAAUUGACUUUUUGUGCAACGGCUGCUAACUCAUAAGCCUGUAGCCACUAAGCCUACAUUCCCAAAUUAUGAUUUUCAUGGAAAAGGCAUUUUUGAUGUCAAAAUAUUUAUAAAUUUGGGCAGUUCUUAUGUGUUGUCUUUGAGCACAAAACUACUAUAAUUGUGCUUUUAAUUAAAAAACGGACACGACAUAAUUAAAAUACGAG
rnacentral:lncRNA from 1 species